rnacentral:tRNA from 1 species
CUCCCUGUGGCUCAGUUGGUAGAGCAUGGUGUUUGCAACACCAGGGUUGUGGGUUCGAUUCCCAUUGGGGGGC